CUCAGAGAAAGAGAAACUAACUUGAUCAACAGCAAUAUGAACACCUGAAACCAUCGAACUCUUUAAACAACAGAAUAUUGAGUCGUUCAGAGACACUUGUGAACACAUCUGAUACUCACAGCAGGUCAUAGUUCAGAUUGCUCAGCUUUAAGAGGGAAAGAACAAUGGCAGAAUCUUCACUAACAGCAAGAAAAACCAGGAGACGGAGUAUUGA